rnacentral:tRNA from 1 species
GCCUGGGUGGCUCAGUGGUGGAGCAUCUGCCUUCAGCUCAGGAGUGAUCCCAGGAUCCAGGAUCAAGUCCUGCAUCGGGCU